rnacentral:sRNA from 1 species
AUUUUCUUCUCCGUUUUU